rnacentral:rRNA from 1 species
GAUGAACGCUGGCGGCGUGCCUAAUACAUGCCAGUCGAGCGAACGGACGAGAAGCUUGCUUUUCUGAUGUUAGCGGCGGACGGGUGAGUAACACGUGGAUAACCUACCUAUAAGACUGGGAUAACUUCGGGAAACCGGAGCUAAUACCGGAUAAUAUUUUGAACCGCAUGGUUCAAAAGUGAAAGACGGUCUUGCUGUCACUUAUAGAUGGAUCCGCGCUGCAUUAGCUAGUUGGUAAGGUAACGGCUUACCAAGGCAACGAUGCAUAGCCGACCUGAGAGGGUGAUCGGCCACACUGGAACUGAGACACGGUCCAGACUCCUACGGGAGGCAGCAGUAGGGAAUCUUCCGCAAUGGGCGAAAGCCUGACGGAGCAACGCCGCGUGAGUGAUGAAGGUCUUCGGAUCGUAAAACUCUGUUAUUAGGGAAGAACAUAUGUGUAAGUAACUGUGCACAUCUUGACGGUACCUAAUCAGAAAGCCACGGCUAGCUACGUG